rnacentral:rRNA from 1 species
CACGGAAGGUCCGGGCGUUAUCCGGAUUUAUCGGGUUUAAAGGGAGCGCAGGCGGAGGCUUAAGCGUGACGUGAAAUGUAGCCGCUCAACGGCUGAGUUGCGUCGCGGACUGGGUUUCUUGAGUGAGUACGACGUCAGCGGAAUUCGUGGUGUAGCGGUGAAAUGCUUAGAUAUCACGAAGAACCCCGAUUGCGAAGGCAGCUGACGAGUCCUUUACUGACGCUAAAGCUCGAAGGUGUGGGGAGCAAAC